GCCGCCAUGGUGAAAUCGGUAGACACGCUGCUC
rnacentral:tRNA from 3 species